AACGAACGCUGGCGGCAUGCCUAACACAUGCAAGUCGAACGAACCCUUCGGGGUUAGUGGCGCACGGGUGCGUAACGCGUGGGAAUCUGCCCUUUGCUUCGGAAUAACAGUUAGAAAUGACUGCUAAUACCGGAUGAUGUCUUCGGACCAAAGAUUUAUCGGCAAAGGAUGAGCCCGCGUAGGAUUAGGUAGUUGGUGGGGUAAAGGCCUACCAAGCCGACGAUCCUUAGCUGGUCUGAGAGGAUGAUCAGCCACACUGGGACUGAGACACGGCCCAGACUCCUACGGGAGGCAGCAGUGGGGAAUAUUGGACAAUGGACGCAAGUCUGAUCCAGCAAUGCCGCGUGAGUGAUGAAGGCCUUAGGGUUGUAAAGCUCUUUUACCAGGGAUGAUAAUGACAGUACCUGGAGAAUAAGCUCCGGCUAACUCCGUGCCAGCCGCCGCAGUAACAC
rnacentral:rRNA from 1 species